AUUGAACGCUGGCGGCAUGCCUUACACAUGCAAGUCGAACGGCAGCACGGGUGCUUGCACCUGGUGGCGAGUGGCGAACGGGUGGGUAAUACAUCGGAACAUGUCCUGUAGUGGGGGAUAGCCCGGCGAAAGCCGGAUUAAUACCGCAUACGAUCUACGGAUGAAAGCGGGGGACCUUCGGGCCUCGCGCUAUAGGGUUGGCCGAUGGCUGAUUAGCUAGUUGGUGGGGUAAAGGCCUACCAAGGCGACGAUCAGUAGCUGGUCUGAGAGGACGACCAGCCACACUGGGACUGAGACACGGCCCAGACUCCUACGGGAGGCAGCAGUGGGGAAUUUUGGACAAUGGGCGAAAGCCUGAUCCAGCAAUGCCGCGUGUGUGAAGAAGGCCUUCGGGUUGUAAAGCACUUUUGUCCGGAAAGAAAUCCUUGGCCCUAAUACGGUCGGGGGAUGACGGUACCGGAAGAAUAAGCACCGGCUAACUACGUG
rnacentral:rRNA from 1 species